rnacentral:rRNA from 1 species
UACGUAGGGUGCGAGCGUUGUCCGGAAUUAUUGGGCGUAAAGGGCUCGUAGGCGGUCUGUCACGUCGGGAGUGAAAACUCAGGGCUUAACCCUGAGCCUGCUUCCGAUACGGGCAGACUAGAGGUAUGCAGGGGAGGACGAAUUCCUGGUGUAGCGGUGAAAUGCGCAGAUAUCAGGAGGAACACCGGUGGCGAAGGCGGGUCUCUGGGCCGAUACUGACGUGAGGAGCGAAAGCGUGGGGAGCGAACAGGAUUAGAUAC